rnacentral:rRNA from 1 species
CGGUCCUAAGGUAGCGAAAUUCCUUGUCGGGUAAGUUCCGACCUGCACGAAUGGCGUAAUGAUGGCCAGGCUGUCUCCACCCGAGACUCAGUGAAAUUGAACUCGCUGUGAAGAUGCAGUGUACCCGCGGCAAGACGGAAAGACCCCGUGAACCUUUACUAUAGCUUGACACUGAACAUUGAGCCUUGAUGUGUAGGAUAGGUGGGAGGCUUUGAAGUGUGGACGCCAGUCUGCAUGGAGCCGGCCUUGAAAUACCACCCUUUAAUGUUUGAUGUUCUAACGUGGACCCGUGAUCCGGGUUGCGGACAGUGUCUGGUGGGUAGUUUGACUGGGGCGGUCUCCUCCUAAAGAGUAACGGAGGAGCACGAAGGUUGGCUAAUCCUGGUCGGACAUCAGGAGGUUAGUGCAAUGGCAUAAGCCAGCUUGACUGCGAGCGUGACGGCGCGAGCAGGUGCGAAAGCAGGUCAUAGUGAUCCGGUGGUUCUGAAUGGAAGGGCCAUCGCUCAACGGAUAAAAGGUACUCCGGGGAUAACAGGCUGAUACCGCCCAAGAGUUCAUAUCGACGGCGGUGUUUGGCACCUCGAUGUCGGCUCAUCACAUCCUGGGGCUGAAGUAGGUCCCAAGGGUAUGGCUGUUCGCCAUUUAAAGUGGUACGCGAGCUGGGUUUAGAACGUCGUGAGACAGUUCGGUCCCUAUCUGCCGUGGGCGCUGGAGAACUGAGGGGGGCUGCUCCUAGUACGAGAGGACCGGAGUGGACGCAUCACUGGUGUUCGGGUUGUCAUGCCAAUGGCACUGCCCGGUAGCUAAAUGCGGAAGAGAUAAGUGCUGAAAGCAUCUAAGCACGAAACUUGCCCCGAGAUGAGUUCUCCCUGACCCUUUAAGGGUCCUGAAGGAACGUUGAAGACGACGACGUUGAUAGGCCGGGUGUGUAAGCGCAGCGAUGCGUUGAGCUAACCGGUACUAAUGAACCGUGAGG